GACGAACGCUGGCGGCGUGCUUAACACAUGCAAGUCGAACGGUGAAGCGCCUUCCUUUUGGUGGGUGUGGAUGAGUGGCGAACGGGUGAGUAACACGUGAGUAACCUGCCCCCUUCUUCUGGAUAACCGCAUGAAAGUGUGGCUAAUACGGGAUAUUCUGGGUCUGUCGCAUGGUGGGCCUGGGAAAGAUGCGCCUUUGGGUGUUUUUGGUGGGGGAUGGGCUCGCGGCCUAUCAGCUUGUUGGUGGGGUGAUGGCCUACCAAGGCGGUGACGGGUAGCCGGCCUGAGAGGGUGGACGGUCACACUGGGACUGAGACACGGCCCAGACUCCUACGGGAGGCAGCAGUGGGGAAUAUUGCACAAUGGGCGCAAGCCUGAUGCAGCGACGCCGCGUGAGGGAUGGAGGCCUUCGGGUUGUAAACCUCUUUCGCCAGUGAAGCAGGCCUGUCCCUUUUGUGGGUGGGUUGACGGUAGCUGGAUAAGAAGCGCCGGCUAACUACGUGCCAGCAGCCGCGGUAAUACGUAGGGCGCGAGCGUUGUCCGGAAUUAUUGGGCGUAAAGAGCUCGUAGGCGGCUGGUCGCGUCUGUCGUGAAAUCCUCUGGCUUAACUGGGGGCUUGCGGUGGGUACGGGCCGGCUUGAGUGCGGUAGGGGAGACUGGAACUCCUGGUGUAGCGGUGGAAUGCGCAGAUAUCAGGAAGAACACCGGUGGCGAAGGCGGGUCUCUGGGCCGUUACUGACGCUGAGGAGCGAAAGCGUGGGGAGCGAACAGGAUUAGAUACCCUGGUAGUCCACGCCGUAAACGUUGGGCACUAGGUGUGGGGGGCCUUUUCCGGGUCUUCCGCGCCGUAGCUAACGCAUUAAGUGCCCCGCCUGGGGAGUACGGCCGCAAGGCUAAAACUCAAAGGAAUUGACGGGGGCCCGCACAAGCGGCGGAGCAUGCGGAUUAAUUCGAUGCAACGCGAAGAACCUUACCAAGGCUUGACAUGUGCCGGUCGGCUCCGGAGACGGGGUUUCCUCCUUGUGGGGCCGGUUCACAGGUGGUGCAUGGUUGUCGUCAGCUCGUGUCGUGAGAUGUUGGGUUAAGUCCCGCAACGAGCGCAACCCUUGUCCCGUGUUGCCAGCACGUUGUGGUGGGGACUCGCGGGAGACUGCCGGGGUCAACUCGGAGGAAGGUGGGGAUGACGUCAAAUCAUCAUGCCCCUUAUGUCUUGGGCUUCACGCAUGCUACAAUGGCCGGUACAGAGGGCUGCGAUACCGUGAGGUGGAGCGAAUCCCUUAAAGCCGGUCUCAGUUCGGAUCGGUGUCUGCAACUCGACACCGUGAAGUUGGAGUCGCUAGUAAUCGCAGAUCAGCAACGCUGCGGUGAAUACGUUCUCGGGCCU
rnacentral:rRNA from 1 species